rnacentral:rRNA from 1 species
GACGAACGCUGGCGGCGUGCUUAACACAUGCAAGUCGAACGGAAGGCCCUUUCGGGGGUACUCGAGUGGCGAACGGGUGAGUAACACGUGGGUGAUCUGCCCUGCACUUUGGGAUAAGCCUGGGAAACUGGGUCUAAUACCGAAUACACCUUAUGGUCUGCAUGGAUUGUGGGGGAAAGCUUUUGCGGUGUGGGAUGGGCCCGCGGCCUAUCAGCUUGUUGGUGGGGUGAUGGCCUACCAAGGCGACGACGGGUAGCCGGCCUGAGAGGGUGUCCGGCCACACUGGGACUGAGAUACGGCCCAGACUCCUACGGGAGGCAGCAGUGGGGAAUAUUGCACAAUGGGCGCAAGCCUGAUGCAGCGACGCCGCGUGAGGGAUGACGGCCUUCGGGUUGUAAACCUCUUUCAAUAGGGACGAAGCGCAA